rnacentral:rRNA from 1 species
UACGGGGGGGGCAAGCGUUGUUCGGAAUUACUGGGCGUAAAGGGCUCGUAGGCGGCCAACUAAGUCGGAUGUGAAAUCCCCAGGCUUAACCUGGGAACUGCAUCCGAUACUGGAUGGCUUGAAUCCGGGAGAGGGAUGCAGAAUUCCAGGUGUAGCAGUGAAAUGCGUGGAUAUCGUAAGGAAGACCAGUGGCGAAGGCGAAUCUCUGGACAGUUACUGACACUGAGGCACGAAGGCCAGGGGAGCAAACGGG